GACGUUCCCCCCUGACUGAGGAAGAGGUACCCGGGGUGUAGCUGUGAGCUGGAUGCCAGAGGAAGUCACUCUUCCCAAGGAGAAGACGGGCAGCUCCCGGGAAGCUCCAAGGUCAAGGCAAAGGCCGUGGUGACAACGCGGUCUCAUUCCCGUCAUGCCCAGGAAGCCAGACCUGGACACCUCUCGUCAGCUUCUCUCUACCAGGUUUCCUGCAUCUACACCCUUUUGGAGCAACUUUUCCAGACCACCUUCCCAACCUGCGCAUUGGUUCUUCUGUUUCUCAUCGUGCUGGAACCCUACUCACUGAGCAAGCUCAGGUCAUGAUCUGACAGUUCGUGGAAUCGAGCCCUGCAUUGGGCUCUGCAUUGACAGUGUGGAGCCUGCUUGGGAUUCUCUCUCUCUCCCCCUCUCUCUCUGCCCCUCCCCUGCUUGCACUCAUAUGCUCUCACUCUCUC